CUCUAGAUGAAGAAUCUCAAAUAGGACGAAACGCGCGUUAAACUAGAU
rfam:Schistosoma haematobium scaffold163_30, whole genome shotgun sequence.